rnacentral:rRNA from 1 species
UUGGAGGGCAAGUCUGGUGCCAGCAGCCGCGGUAAUUCCAGCUCCAAUAGCGUAUAUUAAAGUUGUUGCAGUUAAAAAGCUCGUAGUUGAAUUUCGGGGUUCAUCCGUUGGUCGGGCUUUUUUGGUCUGUACUGGCGUGAUGGAUUCCUGCCUUCUGAAUAACCGGCAUGUCAUUAAUUUGGUGCGCCGGGGAAGCAGGACUGUUACCUUGAAAAAAUUAGAGUGCUUAAAGCAGGCUAUCGCCUGAAUACAUUAGCAUGGGAUAAUGAAAUAGGACGGCAUGGUUCUAUUUUGUUGGUUUCUAGGAUCACCGUAAUGAUUAAUAGGGAUAGUUGGGGGCAUUAGUAUUCAAUUGUCAGAGGUGAAAUUCUUGGAUUUAUUGAAGACUAACUUCUGCGAAAGCAUUUGCCAAGGAUGUUUUCAUUAAUCAAGAACGAAAGUUAGGGGAUCGAGGACGAUCAGAUACCGUCGUAGUCUUAACCAUAAACUAUGCCGACUAGGGAUCGGACGAUGUUAAUUUUUUAAUGACUCGUUCGGCGCCUUACGGGAAAC